rnacentral:rRNA from 1 species
GAUGAACGCUGGCGGCGUGCCUAAUACAUGCAAGUCGAGCGAACGGACGAGAAGCUUGCUGCUCUGAUGUUAGCGGCGGACGGGUGAGUAACACGUGGAGAACCUACCUAUAAGACUGGGAUAACUUCGGGAAACCGGAGCUAAUACCGGAUAAUAUUUUGAACCGCAUGGUUCAAAAGUGAAAGAAGGUCUUGCUGUCACUUAUAGAUGGAUCCGCGCUGCAUUAGCUAGUUGGUAAGGUAACGGCUUACCAAGGCAACGAUGCAUAGCCGACCUGAGAGGGUGAUCGGCCACACUGGAACUGCGACACGGUCCAGACUCCUACGGGAGGCAGCAGUAGGGAAUAUUCCGCAAUGGGCGACAGCCUGACGGAGCAACGCCGCGUGAGUGAUGAAGGUCUUCUGAUCGUAAAACUCUGUUAUUAGGGAAGAACAUAUGUGUAAGUAACUGUGCACAUCUUGACGGUACCUAAUCAGAAAGCCACGGCUAACUACGUG